rnacentral:lncRNA from 1 species
UAGCAAUAUAUGAAUUUAGUUUUUAGCUCACCUGGCCUGAAGGGCCAAGUAGAGCUUUUCUCAUCACUUGGUGUCCAUUGUCCGGCUCGGUGUCCAGCGUCGGCGUCGUCUGUCAUCUUUAACUUUUACAAAAAUCUUCUCCUCUAAAACUACUUGGCCAAAUUAACCAUACUUGGCCACAAUCAUCAUUGAGGUAUCUAGUUUAAAAAAUGAGUGCAGUGACCCAGCCAACCAACCAAGAUGGCCAUCAUGGCUAAAAAUAGAACAUAGGGGUAAAAUGUAGAUUUUGGCUUAUAAUUCUGAAGCCUAAGCAUUAAGAGCAUUCAGACAUGGGGUUAAAUUGUUUUGCUUAUCUGCCCUGAAAUUUUCAGAUGAAUCGGAC